CUUGCACAAUUCACAGCGCUUAUCAGAGCACAUACCCUCCCCAGUGUCUAUCGCCCAGUCCCCCCAUCCCUCCACCCCACCCCCCACUCCAACAACACUCAGUUUGUUUCCUGCGAUUAAGAAUUCCUCAUAUCAGUGAGAUCAUAUGAUACAUGUCUUUCUCUUUUUGACUUAUUUCACUCAACAUAAUACCCUCCAGUUCCAUCCACGUCGUUGCAAAUGGCAAGAUCUCAUUCCUUUUGAUUCAGCCGGCCUUUUAAACUAUGCCCAUCAUGAUCAGUGGAGGACCUUUGAGUAAGAUACUCCAAGAUCUCUAGGUAUAGAGACAUUAUAAUCUGCUUGAGAUCUUCAAGUUACUGAAAGAACUAUCUUUUUUUUUAAUUGAUUCAGGCUCUAGUAUGUUCAGAGUGUGCUGUAAGACAGGUCUGAAAUAGUAUUUAAAAACACUCAGCUCAGCCUCUUCUACAAAGUGAGACAGUGCUUAUAAACAUUGCUAAAAUAGUCCCUUAGCUAUGAUUACUUACUUCCCAACCAUCGUAGUGUUUAUAUGGUAUGACUAUGACUUAACAUUAGUCAAAAUCUGCAAGGAAAGAACUGAGACAGUGUAUGAAAGCUUUAGGGGCACUUCAUGUUUCCAUUAGUGUUGUGAAAAUGAGCUACUCUGUUUUAUUCUAUAGUCCAAGGGAAUGGUGCCAGACAUCUCUGAGAUGUCUAGGAGUUCUAAAAUUCUGACUUUAAAUUAUCUGUGUGCUUCAGAGAUUUGGGCAGGAGAAGGGGAAGAGCCCAGCAUCUGUGAACACCUCUGUUACCUGUGUUGACCGUGGGAUAGGUGAACUUCUCUAGGCAUCAUUUUGAUUUUUUGGCACUAUUGUUAAAGGUACUUUUGUCUCAAGUUCCUCCCUUUAGUAGCAAUUCUAAUGAUAAUGGAAAUUUUUAUCUUUUACCAUCCGUGGGCCUGGAUCCUGGGCUCCCAGAGAAGCUAUCCUUUAACAUUUUACCAAGGUCAAAAUGACUGGGCCAAGCCUCAGAGUAUGGGUCCUAUUUCUGUCCCAAGCACAUAUUGUACAUCUGGUUUGAGAAGAAAAAGAUAAUCCCAAAAUGCCAUUGCAAACAUAAAGAUAAGAAAAACAAAAGAACCUCUCUGGCUUCCAUAAGAUUAGAGUCAUACCAACUUGUACAAACUGAAAACAUAAGAGAAAGUCUGUCACUUUCUUGAAUGUUCUUCCUCAUGAUGAUAUGUAACUCUGUAUGUAAAUCAACACAGAACAAAUAUAUAAACCUGCCUCAAAUGUUCCUUCCCCGGAGCACUCCCUUUUUUGUGAAGAUUGUGUCUCCCAGGCAGCUGUCCUGACUUGGGUUUGAAUAAAACUCUCUUCCUUUUUCUCUAAAGUGUUUAAAAGGGUUUGUUCAUUCAGUGUCGAGAAUAACAAUAUGUUUUCUUUUUAAGUGAAAAAUAAAUGUUCCUCGUUCACAACUCCAACAGCAGAGAAGGGCGGCUGUUCUUCAUCCUGGAGCUUCCCUGCAGAACCAAGCAUAUGUAUAUAUAUUCCAGCAUAAACGGGCUCAUCCUACAAGGAUGCUUUGAAGGUCCAAGAAGCACUAUCCAGUCCAUGGAAACCGAAGCAGGUGUGCUUGCCAUAGGUCGGAGGUCCUACUUAUCCCCACCUGACAGCACUUCUCCCCUCUGGCUCCAUGAGACCCGAAGUUUUGAACAUCAGCAUGUGAGUCAGUGAUGCUGCUUGUCACAGGACGUCAGCAUUCAGAGAGAGCAGCAGGUCCAUUUGGUACAAUGUCAUCUUCAAGUCAGGACUGGAGGUAAAACUUCUGAUUAACCCCAAACCUCCUGGGCUUUCCUCUUUUUUCUAGUUGAGCUACGAAGUAAAACUUAAGUAGCUCUCAGCAUUCUCCAUUUGGUUCAAGAGUUACUUUCCCUGCGGGUAGAACAUUGCAGGGGAUCCGAUUUUCUCUGUUCAUUUAUUGCUUACAAAAUAUAUUCUGAUCAUCUGUUUCCUAGAAGUAACUUUUAUUAGAAAGAGAAGGUGAAAUUUACUCUUUGUGUGUUUUUAAGAUAUCUUUUGUUCCUCAAUCUAAUAGCGUUUAUUCAAUUGGGCCUAGGAUAUGGUUGAGUGGCCAGCAUCUAGAGUUAGGUGGCUUUUUGUCGUCAGAUACAGAUUCGGAUGAUGUCUUGUCAUUUGUCAAAGGUGAUGUUUCAUAAUUGAUUAGUGUUUUCAUCAGAAGAGUUACAGUUAGGGUCAAGGGAAAAAUCAAAAUUAUUCAAAGCAGGCUUUUACUGUUUAAAAGUUGAGCCUGAGUUUCUAGUUUUUCUAAAUGUAUCAUCUAGAUAUUUUGACAUGCUGUAUUUUCUCUGUAGUUUCUUUGGUGGUGGAGUCAGAAGGAGAGUGUUUGGGAAUUCUGGAUGGAGGCAUGCUGGUGUCAGGAGCACUGGGUUGAGUUCUGGAACUGCUUGCCUGAGCCUAGGUGCGUCAGGUUAUCCCACAGAGCUUCCGUUGACUCCUUAUGAAAUUUGUGGAAGGAGCAGGAUCUGUGGACUCCAGGGGUGAUGUGAGAAACCUCAGAAGCCUCCCUUGUCUGUGUUUCCCUCGUCUGUCCCGGUGCUCCAUUCCUUCCUAAGGCCUUGUCACCGGACCAGAGCAGUGAAUCUGGAACCUCUUCCAAAUGGAGACCCGGAGGCUGCAACAAGGAGGGUCUUGGCCUUGGUCCCCAGACUAGUGGUCAGUGCUCUGCCAUGUUCUGCGUACCCAGGUCCUCAGCCCCCCAAGUCCCCAGUCUGUCCCCUGCUCAGAAGGACCUCGAGGGAGUACAAAGCAUUUUCCCAGGACUGGGAGCACAGUGGGUCGGGGAUGGAGAUCCAAGGCCAAUAGGCUCUUCCACAAGCCUGUGGGACCCUAGGGACACUGCAUCUCUACAGCCCAAGUGACAGAAGAGUAAGCUGAGGCCUUUGUGCUGUAGCCCCUCUGGACUUGGGGGUGGGUAUCUCUUCCUGCUUCCAAGUGCCCAGGCUGGUGAUGGACACCGGAACCCAGACCCUGUCCUCUCCCAGUGCCCUGGCAACCCUUCGGGGCCCCUUGGGGACCCCUGACCCUCAGCCUGGCCUGUCUCCCCUCCCCAUGCUAUGGAUCUGGGUCCUUGCCAGGAGUCCUGAUGCCCUGCCCCAUGGCCCAGCUGUCUGCAACCUGUUUCUUCUUUCCCCCCUGUCACCCACCUCGCUCCCAGGGUGUCCUCCCCUUCUGACCCCCAGCUGGGCAGUCAGAGUGGUGUGUGUGUGUGGGGGGGGGGUAUGUGCAGCUGCACGUGCCUCUACGUGCCUGGGGAUGCCAAGGUCAUGUCCCCACAUGGAACGGGGUGGGUAGCUCUUCCCGAGGAUCUGAGUGGCUCUCACCCCCAAAGCAAACCUCAUGGGAGGGUUGGGACUGGCCUAGGACUGGAGAGCAGCUCCUUGGACUCUGCACCCCUCAGUUGUCCUGGGCCAGUCCCUGCCUCUCUUGACCCAGGUUCCCAACUGUCCCUGAGGGUCGGACAUGGAAAGGCUUGAACGUGGCUGCUCCUCCAGGGGUAGGUGGGGGACAGGUGCACCAGGCACGCAGGCCUCCCCACCGAGAGGGCCAGCCAGGUGUGUCAUGGCCAGGUGUGCACAGACGACCUGCCCACAGCUCCUGUACCAUGACCCAGCCCUGCGGCAGAUGUGCACGAGACCCAUGGCUCCGCACCUGACCGGUUCCCCGCAUUCCCUCACCACCUCGGAGACAAGGGUUCUUCUUCGUCCUAGGGCCCGUCAUCCUUUGGACAAUGAGAGCAGAGGGAUCCGUAUCUAGAGGAGGCCGGCAGGGCGUCCCACGGAGUGUCGUGUGCCCAUCUCUGCUUUGUCGUCUAGGCUUAGCGGCGGACCCCCACCUAGAAAGAGGCCCAUGGGGCAGGGACAUUUGUCUGCCCUGUUCCCUGAAUUAUGGAAAAUGUCU